rnacentral:rRNA from 1 species
CGAAAAUAAGUGAUAUGGAGCAAAACCCUAAAAACGGUACUCAGUUCGGGAUUGAAGGCUGAAAUUCGCCUUCAUGAAGCUGGAAUUGCUAGUAAUGGCAGGUCAGCAUACUGCCGUGAAUACGUUCCCGGGCCUUGUACACACCGCCCGUCACACCAUGAGAGUUGGGAAUACCCGAAGCCUGUGAGCUAACUGUAAGGAGGCAGCAGUCGAAGGCAGGUCGGAUGACUGGGGUGAAGUCGUAACAAGGUAGC